AGAGCAGGAACCGGGCCCCUUCCGGCCCCCGUCGAUGUGGGAAGAAGUAAAGUGAUUCACGCUGUCCAUCUCCAAGGCACAGAGGGUGACCCAAGGAUCACAGCCCACAGACCACUUGAGCCAACCUUCACUUCCCAAGUAGGGAAAACUGAGUCCCGGGCCAGAGGAGGGCCAGUUGGGCUGUUAUGAGGCGGCAGGUGGCAGACACUAUCACUGUCCUUGGCCAGGCCACACAAAGCUUUCAAGGCUGGACAGACAUUGGCUCUGGGAUGGCAUGGCUCACAAGGUGCACUCACAGGUGUGCAGCUGGCUCGGAGCAGGAUGCAAGGGGUGUACUGACAUGAGCAAGAAGACAGCACACAGGCAGACGUAGCAGGCAUGUGUGUGCAUGUCCACAGGGACAUGUGCAUGUGUGAUCCGGCGCAGGAGCACAUGCAGGCUUGUGGAGGGAGCAAAGGUUCAAGGCCAGCAUUCUCUUGGGAAUGCAGCAUCCAAGGUUCAGGAGCCCUAGACCCAGGUUCGAGGAAGCUCUGGGUCACAACCUCCAGGUCCCCACUGCAGGCUCAGCUGGAGGGUACUCCCGGGGGCUCAGCUACCCCAGCCCCCUGCCUGGGCCGGGCGGGAGGAUGGACAGAGCAAGGCGGGCCAUGUGUCGGGCCUAACUGCGG
rnacentral:lncRNA from 1 species